CUUUUCUUUUUAUACUCCUUGUGUGAGCCUUUAAGGCAGGUCUAGUGGCAGUGGGGCUGGCUCGGCGGAUCCCUGUCAGUCACUUUGCUCUCGUACUAAAUGUACUUUUGUGCCAUUUAAGCAGCCGAUGGUGUCAUUGGCGUUGAGAGUGCAGCUUCUACAGCUCACACUGAAGGCUUUGGGGACCCAGGAGGGCACGAGUUAAGAUACAUGGCCAUUUGACAUACCCGUGUUAAGUUCAAUCUUGCUACAAAAGAAGGCCAUUUGUACUUCCUGACCCUGAAAGCAAGAACUGUGUCUCUUUAAAUCUACUGAGGAAGAUGUUCCUUCUGGCCCACAGGAUGCCAAAAUGACUCGAUGAUUUAUUUAUGCAGCGCUUGGCAGCCCAUCGUCCAGAUUGUGGCUGAAGCUGAAUUUUAUGAGCCUUCCCCCAAUCACUGGGAGAAUGGUAGAAGGAAUGAUGAGCUUUCCCUGAAGGUUCCAGCUUCUUCCUGCCACUAUUCUCUAGGGUGGGGUCACCUUCAUCUGGUUCCAGGAUGCAGCAUGCCCAGGUCUAAGAAGUCACCCCUUUUGUUACAGUCACUAGACUUUAUCAGGCUCUCCUGUACUUCUUUUUCAGGGGCCAUCGCUCUACAGUCAAUGUAGAAAAUUGGAGCAUCACAGUGUCAGAUCAUUCCCACGCUAUCAAACCAAAUAUGACCAGUUGCUGCUCUGAUCAAGGCUGACAGUUUGUCACACACUACUACUGCAGAGGCCAGAGCAUUUUGAAAGGCAAGAAACAGAACGGAAAUGGAGAGGAGAGCCCAGCAUGACUUGCGCCGUGCCAAAGGAAUACGUGUGAAGAAAUAUCUUGAAAGAGCCAGGUUGGUCCAGACCUGCUGGCAAGCCUGCAGCCCCAUCCACCGAUUACCUAAUACACUUGUGACAUCUGCUUUCCUUGUUGUGAGAAAACACAGGGAGGAAGUGUGUGCAGAAGGGGUGAUCCCUGACCUACACACCCGGCAAUACCGGAAGUUUCACUACCUUCCGUUGGUAAACGCUUCAGGGAAGGCUCUGCAACCCUGAACGUGUUUUAUUGUAGAACCUCACUAGGAAACUCAUCAGUAUUUAUUAAAGAUGAAUUAAAAGAAGGAGGAAAAGGAAAAACGAGUUAGUGAAGAGGAUAGAUGAAUGAAAAAGAAGCAAAGGGAAGAGAGGAGGAAGGGACAAAGAGGGCAAGAAAAGAGAAAAGAGAGAUGAGAGACCCGGACUUCCCACCUAACCUUACCAAACUUUUUCAGUUGAGCUUUUAAUGGGAUACUAUUCCCAAGAGGAAAUUCAAAAAGAAAACCACCUUGAAACAUCCUUGCUUUUAAUUGUACUCUUUCAACUGCCAGGAAAUUAAUUAGGUAAGACAAAAAGAAAAUUUUCUACCUUAAUAAAAAGAAGCCAACAACCAGGAACAACUGUCUUUGCUUGAGAACAGUGUUACAUGUACAAAGCUGCCUACGGAGUGUCUCCCGCCUGGCUCAGGCAAGAAACUGGGACAGAAGUCUGUGAUGUUAUACCAGCCUGGGAGUCGUGCAUGGUCAUGUCAGUGUCGAGUGCACCAGGCGACACAGGGACAUGCCAGGCACCUCUCCUCCAGAGAGACUGCCAGCCAUACAUGUCACCUCUCUCCCUUAGGCUUCACAGACUCUGCGGCCUUCCUCCAACCACCUGUCUCCUUAGGAAGUUUGAGAGAACUUUCUCCUCUGUGAUACAAACAGUAACAAAACAAAGCAGUAAACAAUCCAGUGUGGAAAGCACAUACUAAAGCUAAGAUUUAAUGUCACUGAAAUAAAAUCAUAACAACAAAAAACUCCAAGUACCCUUUCUUUGCAUAAUGUAUUUCAGGUGCCCAGCUACAGAGGCCAAGCCUGUGAUUUACAUCAAGCCUGGGAGAAAGAGGAGGAAAGACCGCCUUUGCCUGGGACAAGAUUCCUAUUUGUGUCAAGGAGAGUUAGGGAAGAGAUGGUUGAGGCAGAGCAGCUGACUGCAGUCUUUAUCCAGUUUGCAUUGCUUUGGGGAAAGCCUUUUAACUGCAAGCUGGAUUGUCCAGAUGCUGGGUUGUCCGGAUGCUGGAUGGUCCAGAUGCUUCGUCGUGGUUGUUCCCUCUGAGCUUCCUCUGGCUUCUGGCUCCUCUUAGUCACCUUCACAACAGGGCUUUAUCAGGACUCUAGAGCAUCGGGCAAGCUCAGGUCUCACCUCUCCUUUUAAUUCUGCAGGAGUCUAUGCCAUGUACUCCAGCCCUGCAUAGGAUGAGUUCUGGAGUUCACCUGGAGCCCACAGAGAGUGGAUGUGGAACUUUUCUGUAGAACAUAGGAGUCGUCUGUACCGGCACAGCUUCAGCCAGCAAUAGGCAUUACCAGCUCCUGCCAGAGGAGCAAGAGGCAGCCACUGAGCUAUAGAGAUCCACACUCCGUCCCUCGUACAACUGCCGCUGUGACCACCUUCUUCUUUCUGCUUUAUUACGUCUGAGAAGCACUUCAUAUGAUAACCUUCCCUUUCACUCUGGCCUGGACCCUUAUUGAAAAGGAAGAAGCAGUGGAAGAGAUCAGACAAGCAGUGUUGUUCGAGACACUUCCUAAUUCCCUUAACAAGGGUUAUGAAGUUUUGGCUGGGAAAAAGGACAAGGGGCGGAGACAGUAUUUAUUUACAGAAUGGUUCUGGAAGAGCUGACAGGCCUUGGGUUGUACGGUUUUGACAUUUAACAAUUUUAUUAACAUCUUUGCUUAUUAUUCACCUUAAUCUUCAGCGUCUGCAGCCAGGAAGGAGUGUGCCCAGCUAACAGCCUGUGUCUCAGGCCCUGCCAGGGGAUGAAUCAAUUAGCAGGAGAAGCCAUGAUGCAAAUGUUCUGGGGUCACUUGAGAGGUUGUUUGCCUUUCUGAUAGAGAAAGCACACCAUAAAUACCAUCACAUCUCAGGAAAUCAUCCCGGGAGGCCCAGAUGCUAGCACGACUGCUGUCACUGCUGUGGGGACAGAAGGGAUCCUUGGCUCCCUGGGUGGAUUUCCCUCAUGCCGGUCAAUAGAAAAUUUGUAGUGAAAUCAAAAUAUUUUAAAGGAGGACAGUGUGCGGUAACAGAGGCAUGUUUAGCUUUUUUUUUUUUUUUUAAGUACCAGAACCCAUGAUUUAUGACCCACAGUUACAACCAACUUUAUUACAAAAAUGACUUCACCCAUAAUAACCUUAUUCAGGAAUCCUUACAGAAUGAUGUAGUACCCCCAAAGAAUUAUAAGCUAGCAAAUAUUCACAAACAAUUCCUACUGCUGUCCCUUUUCCCCACCCACUCAGUGGUAGGGUAGGAUUCCCCACCCCUUUUUUUUUUACCAGCUGGGAGAAAGAGGUCCCAGACAAGCUUCUAUAUUCUUUUGGUGGACAUUUGCCAGGUCAGGCAUUUCAAAUCACCCAGGACAGAGGCUGCCUCCUAGCUUUGACCUUUAUCUUCCCCAACCAGUGCCCUGGGCAACAGCACAGGGCUCCAUUCACCUUCACUGCCUCCCUGAACAUCCCUGUCUCCCUCCCUCGUUGGAUACCCAGUAUCUGGGGGUAGCUUCAUGAAGUCCCUCCCCUUUUAAUUGCCAUGGUAACCGACAGCUGCAUUAAAAUGGCCAGGCCUUGGGGGUCCAAGCAAUGUCCCUCGGGUGUGCCUGGAUCUAGGAACUGGUCCUCUAUCUUAUUAAACUCAGGUGUCAGUCCCUAGCAGUUGUGUUAAAUUUACACCCUCCAAGUCAGUCAGUGGGAUUACAUGUCCAUUUGCAUUAAAACAGGUUUCUGUCAUUAAACUGCCAUACAAUAAGCGUCCUUGGGACAAAUUAAUGAGCUCUAAAUAUCAUCAAGUAGAGAAGUUCACUUCACCAAGACAGCCACCGUGGGGUCGGAGGGGGUGGCUGCCCACUGUUCUCACCCAAGAGAACCGUAAGUGCCAGCUAAAGACGGUCUCAUCCUGCUUCUCCAUCGAAAGAUGAGUGUCAUGAUUUAGAGCCCUCUGAGGAGCUGGUGAGUUCUCCCCUAGCCUGGCCCUAGAGCUCGUCUCUUCCUAUUCCUUAUUCCAGACAUGCUGAUAGCAUUGACUUUGUCUGCUCAAAAUCACUGAACAGCCAUUGGCUUUCUUCCUAUGUGACAGUGCUUCAGCUUCAUUUCUCUUUCCUUGCUUUCUGAUGUUAAGGAUUAUCUGUGUACAGUGUGGCCUGGUAACAGAAUGCACACAACACAGUGACAGGGGUAGCCACAGAGUGGGCCUCUGCUCUAAAACACCGUCCGGAGUAUGUGUUAGUAGAGCGGUUGGCCCAUGAGUUGGGUGGGGGCCUAUCCUCUGGAAAACUGGUUUUCCUGGAAGUUCCUUUCCCAGUUGUCUAAAAGGUAUCUCUGUUGUGUGUGUGUGUGUGUAUGCACAGGAACACAUGCCCAUGUGCCAUAAUACAUCUGUGGAGGUCAGAGGACAGCUUGAAGAAGUUGGAUCUUGACUUUUACCAUGUGGAUCCUGGGAGCUGAACUCAGCUUGCCGAACUUGGAAGCGGAUACCCGAGCCAUCUUGGAAGCCCCAAGGGGAGACUUCCUUUAAGACUGAAUUCUUUCUGUUCACAAGCAUAGUUAGUGUUUGCCCUCACAAAUACAUAAUAGGUAGAAAUUAUCAGAACCAAUAAAUAAAGCCCCAAGCUUUCUCUUACAUAGAGCCAAGAGGCUGCUAGAUGAACCUCCUCCACUGCACUCUGAUCUCAUUUCUGUGCGGCCCUAACAGGGGACAGUAAUGUAUGAUUGAGACACUGCUACAUUUAGGAAUGACAAGAUGGGCAUUAUUAAUAGCUUAAUUGACAUUAAGGCAAUUACCCCUACCCUUAUUACAGUUUGUAGAAUUACUCAGAAAAUAUUGGCUGAGCCCUUUCUUUCCCUAGAGCUACCCAAGGAUACAGCAUUUUAUUUCAUGCCAGAUCUCGGCUUUGACAUUAGAUACUUAGCCAUAGAAUGAUUCCAGUAAAUCAUUAUAAAUGCAUUAUAAUAAAGAUGUUAUGAGCUAUCAGAUAUUAACCCCCAACCCCUAAAGAGAGAUAAAUAGUUCAGUUGCUUGGUUCCCACUAUUGUUUCAUCAGAAAUAAGCUUUUGCAAGGAGCAACUGACUAAUGAAUUAUAAAAUGGUGUGCUGAGCUCAGAUAAUUAAACAAUGCAUUUUAGUGUCUAGUGCAAGAUGAACACUAAAUCAUACACAGAUAAAAAAAGGGGGGGAAAUCUAAACCCAGGCCCAACUCCUAGUCUCAAAGAGAGUUAAGGUAGUAGGCUACAAUGCAGCAAUGUGUUGGACAUUUUCUCACCUGAUUCCAGGGGCCUGCCAAAUAAGAUCAAGAUACAAAUGGUUUAACUCAACCAAGAGACAGAACAGAGUUCUGGAGGUGUUAAUUUCAGAUAAGCCUACAAGGCUAUUUUAAAGGACAUUUUACAUGGAGGUUACUUUUUUAUCCCCCAAAGUGCUCAUGGGCCCUAAACAUAAGAACCUAGAAGUUUUUAAGUUUCCUCCGACUCUCCAUUCAGCUUUUACUUUUGAUCUCUGAACUCACAGUGAAGCCUAUUAAUGGAAGUUUGCAGAUCAGUGUAGAAACCAUGGUAUUGACGAUUUUCUUGGCCUUAAAGCAUUGCAAAGACAAAGCCUGCUGCGGAGGUGGGGUGAGGAGGAUUUGAAUUCGGAUCAUUAUGCUCAGGUAGGUCUCUACACCCCACAAGGCUCCAUCUAGUGGUCAAUUUUAGAUGAUCACGACAUUUUUCUCUGACUUUGCCAUCAAGGUUGGUCUGUUAAAUUAUGUGUUUUAGUCACCCAGCCUCCCAAAAGUCAUGGGGACCACCUUGGGAUAGCUUCUUGUUUACUGCUCAAGCUUCAUACUUCUAAGGAUUUGAAAGAAAAACUGCCUCAGAUCAUUCGGGAACAAGGGCUGACCACCUGUGCCCAGGGACAGGGUUUCUGUCAACUCCGGGUCCAUGGUGAAUCACUCGGCCUUUUCCUGUGCUCUGGUUAACCUGGGCACCACAACUGGAUCCUUUCAUCACAACCACUUCACUUUAACUGACCUCUCUAAAGUUUAUUUCCUUCAAAGGUACAAUGAAAAUAAUACAAUAAUGCUUACCCAUUACAUCAUGCAGACAUGAGUAAGUCUACUCAUGCAAAAUAAUUGUUAUCUCUUUUCAUUUUAUUGUCUCAUUUUUAAUCCUAUGUCUCUCCUUACCCAUUAUUUUUUCUUCUAAUCCCCAUCCUCUCUCUCUCUCUCUCUCUCUCUCACACACACACACACACACACACACACACACACACACACAUUUGUGAAUCUAUGACUUGAAAACUUCUGCCAAAUUUACUCAAGUCAUCUUCCUUGGGUCUUGCAUGGGGUUGUUUGUGGUACCCAUUCUGUAAAAGCUACCUACCCCUGAGCUAUAUUAAUCAUCACAGCUACUGGUAACAGUUAAUGUCUUCUGACUGCUUAAUAUAAGCCAGGCGGUACGCUAAGUAUCAUCAGCUUGUUAAAUUUUCACAAGCAUAUGAGGCAAGUACUAUUUUCAUCUUCAUCUUAAGGGAAAUUAAAGCUUAAAGAUGUUAUGUAACUUGCUGAAGGUCAUGAAAGCUCCAAAGCAGAAAGCCAAGCUACUUGCUAAGAAUCAGCCUGGAUCUGAAGGCUCGUUUCUUCAGGCUGGUUUUGUCAUCUCUCUCUUCUUCUACACUGGCCUUAUCAAGGGACCUCAUGAGCUUGUGCCCACUCUUAGCUGGAGUGCAACCUGGUUUACAAUUGCCCCAAAGUUACUUAUUUUGAAACUCCUGGGACAUUAUAAAACCACCAAAAGACUUUUAUUACUAUACACAACUUCAUUUCAUUUUGAAAGAAUAUGUCUGCAGGAGGUGACACACUCGGUUGUGCAUUCAGGUUGGAACAGUCCCACCUUACUUGACACCUUGAAUGGCUGGCAGCCACCCUCCACCACUGUCACAAGAGACUGAUAACCUCCCAGUCUUGCUCAGAACACUGGUGCUUCCUAAUGACCCAAGACUCACAAAUCUCAUCCCUUCCUUAAUUGAAGGUGUAAAUGAAGGGGAGGGAGCAAUCCAACCUUAGGGAUAAAUUAUCUUAGCAAUUUAAGAUUGCUGUAUUAUCAGAUAAAAGGCAGGUGUGAGUUUGCUGAAAGUGUUGUGCCUGGAAACAAAAGUCCACACAAGGGGUUGCAGUGAGGUUAUGGGGGGCAUCUGUGUAGCAAAAAGACAGAGGCAAGGAGGGGGUCUAGCUGAAAGUCGUGGUCUGUUUGCUUUAAGCUUGUCUCCACUUGUAUUUCAAAGCACAUCAGAUGGAUAUUUUUCCCACAGUCUUCACACAUGGUCCUGAUUCUGACCAAGUGCUGUGGAUAGUCACUGCUAGUGUCUCAGUGUCAGGCACACUGUCGUGUGAGGCACACAGCAGCUGUACUACUUGGAUCCUUUGCAGUUGGACAAGCCAGUGGUCUGCCUACUAUUUUGAUUGGAGCUACCGUGUGUGCCAAAAGCAUGUCCACAGAAGACCCUUUAGCCCUCUCUCCUGCAGAAGUGACCUUGGUAACAUAUGUUGAGAGGGCUAAGUACUCAAUAGCCUGGAUUCCUAAAAGGUUUGGUGCAGCCCCGUGUUCGACACACAGCAUCAGCAAGAAGUAAACUUCUGUUAGACUAAGCACUGACAUUUGGAGGUUGUUUAUUACAAUAACAAAACCCAGCCAAUCCUGACUAAUCCAGGAGCUGACAUUUUGCUCAGAAAAUAUGGGCCCCUUCUUUCCAAGUCAUAAACUGGUAUUCCUUUUCCAAUAGUUUGAUUCACUCACUAAAUAGUUUUAACUUUUCAUCCUGUCGGCAUACUCUCAGAUGCCUAAAACCAGUAGAAAGAGCUGGGAUUGUACCAAGUUCUGUCUUGUCCUUCACCAUUAACAAGUAAUUGUCGCUAUACUCUAAUAGACAGAAGAACAGAAAAAGCAAGGUUGGUCUUUUCAGUGUCACAUAGGAUCACAUGACAACGAAAGGGGGAGAAACUGUGAAGAGGAAAGAGUAUAGGAUGGCAAAGAAUAACAAGAAAAUGUAGGUGGGAAAAAUCAGAGAAAAGACAGAUACAAAAUGUAGGCACAGUCUUUGGAGUUAGCGGUAGACAGUUGCUUGCAGGCAGGUUCCACUCGUUGUGGUGACACUCAACAUCUUUGACUUCUGCAUCUAUAUGUCUAGCUUGUCAUGGUACUCAGGAAAAAUUGGCUGAAAGGGUAAAUAAAGGAAGGAGUCUCUCAUCUUUACAGUCUUGGAUGCUUGUGGAGCUAAGUGGUCUGUGACUAUAAAUGGGUAUUCCAUCACACCCUGAGAGACAGUACCUAAAGGGAGAGCAAUAAGUGCAUUUGAAUAGCUCCUCGUAAUCUUUAAACCCAAGUCCUUGAAAAGAGCAACUAUGAGGUCAGAGCAAUAAUUCUUUGUCCUAGAAACAGAGCAUCACGGAUAACUCAGGGCAGUCCAUUUUUAAAAGCUCUUCACAUAAACUGGUUAGAAAUGCCCUUGUUUUGUUUGUUUCUGGCUAGGCAGGAUGGAGGGUACAGUGAGCACAGAGGUGUCUGUGACCAUGAGGUGAGGAGAGGUGGGAAAACGGAGUGGAAUACGAUUUGCUGAGUAACUGUUUUUAAUGCUUUCCAUGGAAGAGAUUAAAAUGUGCGGUGGGGUUGAAGAGGAAAUGCUGCGACUCAUUCACGGGAUACAGCCCUGGGAACCCUUAGUAGAUGAUUCAGCUAGUUACAGGAUAAUUCCUCUUCUCUGAGAUCUGCAGAAUGCCUCUGGUCAAGCUGCCCUCCAAACCUUACUCAAGGAUUCUCACAGGCAAAACUAAUAGAAUCCAGAAGGUAGCUGCACCUCUCUCUGGUGAGGAAAGAACACAUCUAGGUUUCUAGUCUUGGGGAUUUAUUGGUACAUGAAGCCAUGACUCUAUGGUUGUGCACAUGGGUCUGUCUGAAAAGCUCAGAGGCCCAAUGCUUGACAUGAGAAUGCAAACACAUUAUCUGUUAUCUGUCGCAUAGCAGCUGCAUGGGGACGGCAACGACAUAGAACAGACAUGAGCCAUGAGCCACAUAGGGAGCCAGUCUCAGAGUCCCAUCAAAACACAGCACAGGCUGGGCUCCAUCCAAACAAGCUACAGUUUGAAAGAAAAUAAAAGUCUCUUGGCUUCAGCAUCUCUUAGGGAUGAACACUAAACUUCCUAGUUUAAAUCCAUCAUUUUGUAUCCGCCAUAGCAAACUAUACUCCUCUCUCAUUGUUUAUCAGAAGAACAAAAUUCUUACUUCCCUAGCUUGACGACCCCAAAUCGUGAGCUUUUCUUCUGUUUUCCCCCUUUGGCCUGACUAGUUUUAUGGCAACUUGACACAAGCUGAAGUCAUCUGCCAGGAGGGAAUCUCAAAGGGGAAGGAGGAAAAAAGCCUUCAGACUACAGGCAGACAAGCCUGUGCUGCAUUUUCUUAAUUAGUGAUUGGUGGGAAGGGCCCAGCCCAUUGUGUGUGGGGGCACCGCUGGGCUGCUGGUCUUGGGUUCAAUAAGAAAGAGAGCUGAGCAAGCCAGUAAGCAGCACCCCUCCAUGAUCUCUGCAUCACUCCUGUCUCCAGGUUCUGGCCCAGUGUGAGUUCCUACCUUGAUUUCCCCCAAUGGACUGUGAUUCAGGAUAUGUAAGGCAAAUAAACCCUUUCAUCCUUAAGUUGCUUUUGGUCAUGGUGUCUCUUCAUAGUAAUAGUAACCCUAACUGAGACAAAUUCUUUAUUCAAACCCUUUCCCUUAAAUUCUUCUUGAAUUUGUCCUUGUCUUCUUGCCAGGAAUAUACUGAGGUAGUUUAUCUAAUUCCCGACCAUUGCCUUCCUAUAGGAAACAAAGCACACAAACAAUGAAAUACUGACUAUCCCAUAAUCCAUGCAGAAAUGAUGAGUGUUGCAAUAGCAAUGGCUCUAAGUGCUGGAGAGUUUAGGUCUUGUGUAAUUUUAUUGUUAUUAAUAAAAUUAAUUUGUUAAAAUUAUGUUGAAGAAUAUAGACUUUGGUUGAAAAGGAGUCUCACUGGGUAACCCAGAAUAGCUUCAAAUUCAUAAUCCUCUGUCUCAGCCUCUGAAAUGCUGAGACUGCAGGUCUACAAGUCCCCAGACUAAAUUCUAUUAUUACUUUGAAGCGGAUGUUUCUCCUUUGUCCUCUUUUUCCCU
rnacentral:lncRNA from 1 species